UAGCUAGUUCCUGUCCUUCAAAUCUCCAUCUCUGCACCAGUAGAUGACAUAGGGUUUUAAGGAAGACUAUGAAGGAUAAGGACAAUGACAAUUCUGGCAUAACUGCUGAACAAAAGAAACCUAGGUCUCCAGGCUCCUGCUUCAGCAAUGCCCAGAUGCUCUCAGGGAUUAGCCUAGCUAAAAGGCCUGGAAGAGGAGAAAGGAGCUGCACUUUCUGCACAAAGCCAAUGCCUAUAAAACAGAAGAAAGCAAAGCAUGAUCAGUGUGGUGAGCAGGAGAUAAAACAAGCUCCUUGGCACUGGGCAAUGGCAGAGGAAGUCUGUUUCCUCCCUGAUAGCUAGUCGAACAUUGUUACCCUAAGCUGGGCUGGUUCUCCUCCCACCAGGCUGUUCAUAUACCAUCUGUCCAUGCUGAAAAUUAUCAGGAGCAUUAUGUUUCGUAUUCACUUAUUAAAAGGCUGAAUGCAAACUUUCCAGAGCAUUCAAAGUGUUACAGCUUACUGCACCGGAAACUUUAUACCAUUAUGUCUAGUUAGGCCCCUGAGUCUCUGUUUUAAUGCCUGGAAAUGAGACAAAGUAUAGCCAAGAAAGGGCAAGAAAAAUGUAAAACUUCAAAAUCAGGAUCCACAGGCUUUCCCAGUUUAACUUGUUCUUUCACAUAAAACUAGAAACAGAACAAAUUUAUACUCCUAUUGCGUUUUUAAACCAAGGGCAGGGUAAGAUCUUUCCCACCAGCGUUUUGCCUGUGCUGCCUUUGAGGUGUG
rnacentral:lncRNA from 1 species